rnacentral:misc_RNA from 1 species
AUUCCGUAGGUGAACCUGCGGAAGGAUCAUUAAAAAUGAAGCCGGGAAACCGGUCCUUCUAACCCUUGAUUAUCUUAAUUUGUUGCUUUGGUGGGCCGCGCAAGCACCGGCUUCGGCUGGAUCGUGCCCGCCAGAGGACACAACUCUGUAUCAAAUGUCGUCUGAGUACUAUAAAAUAGUUAAAACUUUCAACAACGGAUCUCUUGGUUCUG